AUGGUGAUGAAGGUGGCGGUGGUGAUGGUGAUCUAUCUCUCUCUCUCUCUCUCUCUCUCUCUCUCUCUCUCUCUCAGUAUUCAGAGUCAGAGUGGAGUGAUGACCUGGCUCUCCAAUGGCUUCACCAGUGCUCUGCCUCAACCAACAGGCAGCCCUAACCUCAGCAGAUCCAACUCUGUAUCCAGGUCACUGCAGGAGGUACAAAGAGAGGAUGAAAGGAAUGGGGUGAUUAGGUGGAUUGCAGAGGGACUGAGCAAGGUGGUGCCUCAGCCGGAUGACAAGUACAGAGAGGAUAUUCGAGAGGAGGAGGAGGAAGAGACAGAGGUGAGUUGACACUAUCAUGUCACUAUGUCACGGUUUCUGUGGAAGUAGAUUGUAGAUGCAUUUUUUCAGGAGAGCACGUGGUGCUCCAGGUCCACUGGCUCCAGGUCAUCUAUAAGUCUUUGCGAGGUAAAGCCCCGCCUUAUCUCAGCUCAAUGGUCACCUUAGCAACACUCACCCAUAGCACACGCUCCAUCAGGUAUAUUUCACUGGUCAUCCCCAAAGCCAACACUUACUUUGGCCGCCUUUCCUUCCAGUUCUCGGCUGACAAUGACUGGAACGAGUUGCAAAAAUCACUGAAGCUGGAUACUUAUAUCUCCCUAACUUUAAGCAUCAGCUGUCAGAGCAGCUUACCGAUCACUGUACCUGUACAAUUUAAAACAUUUUUGUCAGGUUGCCCUCAUAAUAGCGUUUAAACAAUAUAAUAACUUUAAUAAUUACUACAUGCCUAGUAAUGAUGCUACAUUAAAAUCUUAGCUCCCCACGAUAGUGCAAUAUUCUCACUUAAAAUCACUUUUGUAAAACAAUUCUGCUCCCCCGGCUUGAUGAAUAUCCGGCGAUGGUCUAUAAUGGUGUAACAGGCUUUUGAAUAACUCGCUUAAUCAAAGCCAAUGGUGUCACGGGGCUUUCAGAGAGCUGUGGGUGAGACGUGAUAGCAACGUAAUACCACAAGAGAGGUUUAGAAAUGUAAUAAUCUGUUACGAUAUCCAUGGUGUUAAGACGUUGCCGACUUCCUCUCGCCAUNNNNNNNNNNAUUCACUUGAAGGAUUCAAGGAUAGAAUAAAAAAAUGGUGAAGUUCUGGACAAAUGAUAUCAAUGAUUGAUGAAAUCUACUCCUUAUCUUACAGACAUGUGCAAUAGGAUACAUUAUAAUAACAAUGAUUAUGACACGAAAACAUUGUUCUGAACAUUUGAACAGCAUUAUUUUGCACACAAUUCACAUAUUCCAGAUCCUGUGGUGAAAGAAAGUUUCAAAUUCAUAGGUAUAGACAUGGGGACAAUCAUAUCGGUAGAUUCCUAAUUCCUUUAAAACAUCACCCUGUCAUACAUAACUGGACAUCAGAGGAGCAUUUUAAACUAGUAUCAUGUAAUAACACACCAUAACAUGAUCAAAACAGUAAUGUGGUAAAUAUUCCAUAUAACCUUCAUUGUAAAAAUGAACGUUUGUGACUCUGGCUUCUUUUUUUCAGGUUUAUAACAUGAAAGAUGUGCCAGGUAUAUGUUUACAUUUGUCACACAGCAAUCCCAUUUUUUGUGUUGUAACUUCUUUGACUUAUUAUGGAUGACUUAUAACUAGCUAUUGAUGCUGUCUAUUUUCUGUCUAGACGCAGAGCCCCUCCCACACAUACCUGUGGUGGAGAUAUUUUCAGACGAUGAGGAAGAGGAUCGGGUACCACAGUUCCCCCUCAAGUGAGUCACACAGNNNNNNNNNNGCUGACAAAGCUUGUCUUAAUCCUAAUCCUCUCCCACCCCCCUCUCUCUCUCUCUCUCUCUCUCUCUCUCUACCCCCUCUCUUUCUUCCUCUUCCUCCCUGUCUGUCUUGCGUUGCAGAGUGGUUAACUGGAUUAAGAAUGUUAUUCCUCAGCCUGUGAUGCUCCCUGCAGGUUACGUAGAGGCCCAGAGUAAGGCUCAGAGCAAGAGGUCAUCUCUUGACAAAGGUACAGUCAGAGUUUAAAUGUUUGAGGCCGGUUACCUGGACAUACGCUGAUUGUACAAACAGUAGGAACACCUUCCUAAUAUUGAGUUGCACCCCCUUUUGCACUCGGAACAGCCGCGAUUCAUUGGAGCAUGGACUCUACAAGGUGUCGAAAGCGUCCCACAGGGGAUCCUGGCCAAUGUUGACUCCAAUGUUUCCCUCAGUUGGGUCAAGUUGGCUGGAUGUCCUUUGGGUGGUGGAUCAUUCUUGAUAAACACAGGAAACGCAGUGUUGCAGUUUAUGACACACUCAAACCGGUGCGCCUGGCACCUACGACCAUACCCCAUUUGCUCAAAGGCACUUCAUUCUUUUGUCUGGCCCAAUCACCCUCUGAAUGGCACAUGUACACAAUCCAUGUCUCAAGGCUUAAAAAUCCUUCUUAAACCUGUCUCCUCCCCUUCAUCUACACGGAUUGAAGUGGAUUUAACAAGUGACAUCAAUAAGGGAUCAUAGCUUACAGUCUAUGUCAUGGAACGAGCAGGUGUUCCUAAUGUUUUGUCCACUCAGUGUAGAUUAAGCCUAGUCCUGGACUAAGAAGCAUACCCAGUGGAGGAUAUCAAUUGAAAUAACUUUCUAGUCCCGGACUAGGCUUUAUCUGUGUCCAAGAAACUGGUCCUUAUAGUCUAAAUCUACUAGCUGUACAUCUACGCUACUGUUGUACACCUGUCUUCUCCUUUCCUCUCAGUUUUGUCGCCACCUCCUGAGUCUCUCAAAGGUGACGAGGACUCACAAAACUCCAAGUAAGUUUAACCCGAGAGCACUAUGCGACUCCUGUCACAAUGUAGGCUCAGCUGUCUAUGUGUCUGUUUGUAAGUUUCUGUGUUCCUUUUGGCCCGUUAGUAAGGUGUUUCUCUGUGUGUACCACAGUGUCGUGGGCUGGUUUGUGACGGGCCUCGGCCUCAAGAUGCCACAGCCUGUCGCGAGAUCAAGAGAUGACGUUGAAGUUGUGCAGAAUAGUAAGUGUUUAUUAUUUAUUUAUUUAUUUUUUACAUUUCUCUUCCCUUCAAACUGAUGUCCCAGUUCAAAAUAAAAUCAGAUCUUAAAUCACAUAAUAGACUCACAUUCUAUUUCAUUUAUUUAAUUGUAUUUUUUAUUAUUUCUUCUAUAUUCCAUAAAGUGUUAAAGAACCGGAGAGACCGUAACCCUCUCCUUCUGUUGGUCCGUUUCAGACAGACCCUAACUCAGUCCAUCUUCUGUUGGUCUGUUUCAGACAGACCCUACCUAACUCAGUCCAUCUUCUGUUGGUCUGUUUCAGACAGACCCUAACUCAGUCCAUCUUCUGUUGUUCUGUUUCAGACAGACCCUAACUCAGUCCAUCUUCUGUUGGUCUGUUUCAGACAUACCCUAACUCAGUCCAUCUUCUGUUGGUCUGUUUCAGACAGAUCCUAACUCAGUCCAUCUUCUGUUGGUCUGUUUCAGACAGACCCUAACUCAGUCCAUCUUCUGUUGGUCCAUUUUAGACAGACCGUAACUUAGUCCAUCUUCUGUUCGUCCAUUUUAGACAGACCCUAACUCAGUCCAUCUUCUGUUGGUCUGUUUCAGACAGACCCUACCUAACUCAGUCCAUCUUCUCUUGGUCUGUUUCAGACAGACCCUAACUCAGUCCAUCUUCUGUUGGUCUGUUUCAGACAGACCCUAACUCAGUCCAUCUUCUGUUGGUCCGUUUUAGACAGACCCUAACUCAGUCCAUCUUCUGUUGGUCUGUUUCAGACAGACCCUAACUCAGUCCAUCUUCUGUUGGUCUGUUUCAGACAGACCUUAACUCAGUCCAUCUUCUGUUGGUCUGUUUCAGACAGAGCCUAACUCAGUCCAUUUUCUGUUGGUCUGUUUCAGACAGACCUUAACUCAGUCCAUCUUCUGUUGGUCUGUUUCAGACAGAGCCUAACUCAGUCCAUCUUCUCCUACUGACAUAGAUGAUUGUGGACAUUUAUACAGCUCAACUGAUCAACCCGGUAGCUGUGAGACAUUACUUGAAAAGAAAUUGAACUCCCC
rnacentral:lncRNA from 13 species